rnacentral:lncRNA from 1 species
UCUCAAACUUAAAAAGUUUUAAACAUUUCUCAAAUGUUUGAGUGCAUCCUUAAUAUUGGAAAAAAAAAGUACAAUGGUAAUUAAUAGUAACAGUGGCAGUGGUGGAAGAGAGAGAAAAAAAGUGAGAAAUUAUUAAAAUGGUGAGAGAGAAACAGAAGAGAAAGAAAAAAGUGUCAGAAAAACAGAGGAAAGAGAAGAAAAGUGCAUGCCACAUCAUCUCAAGUUAACGUCGUUUCUAUCAACUUAACGGAAGGGACCUAAUAACACCAAAAUUAAUAACUUAGGGACCAAAUUACAUCAUAUUUAAAAGAGGGUACAAAACAGAAAUUCAGUCCCCAACUUGGGGACUAAAA